CCUACGGGAGGCAGCAGGGGGGAAUAUUGGACAAUGGGCGAAAGCCUGAUCCAGCAAUGCCGCGUGAGUGAUGAAGGCCUUAGGGUUGUAAAGCUCUUUUACCCGGGAUGAUAAUGACAGUACCGGGAGAAUAAGCUCCGGCUAACUCCGUGCCAGCAGCCGCGGUAAU
rnacentral:rRNA from 1 species